AGUGAACGCUGGCGGUAGGCCUAACACAUGCAAGUCGAACGGCAGCACAGUAAGAGCUUGCUCUUACGGGUGGCGAGUGGCGGACGGGUGAGGAAUACAUCGGAAUCUACUUUUUCGUGGGGGAUAACGUAGGGAAACUUACGCUGAUACCGCAUACGACCUACGGGUGAAAGCAGGGGAUCUUCGGACCUUGCGCGAUUGAAUGAGCCGAUGUCGGAUUAGCUAGUUGGCGGGGUAAAGGCCCGCCAAGGCGACGAUCCGUAGCUGGUCUGAGAGGAUGAUCAGCCACACUGGAACUGAGACACGGUCCAGACUCCUACGGGAGGCAGCAGUGGGGAAUAUUGGACAAUGGGCGCAAGCCUGAUCCAGCCAUACCGCGUGGGUGAAGAAGGCCUUCGGGUUGUAAAGCCCUUUUGUUGGGAAAGAAAAGCAGCAGGUUAAUACCCCGCUGUUCUGACGGUACCCAAAGAAUAAGCACCGGCUAACUUCGUG
rnacentral:rRNA from 1 species